UGGGGAAUUUUGGACAAUGGGGGAAACCCUGAUCCAGCCAUCCCGCGUGUGCGAUGAAGGCCUUCGGGUUGUAAAGCACUUUUGGCAGGAAAGAAACGUCGCGGGUUAAUACCCCGCGGAACUGACGGUACCUGCAGAAUAAGCACCGGCUAACUACGUGCCAGCAGCCGCGGUAAUACGUAGGGUGCAAGCGUUAAUCGGAAUUACUGGGCGUAAAGCGUGCGCAGGCGGUUCGGAAAGAAAGAUGUGAAAUCCCAGAGCUUAACUUUGGAACUGCAUUUUUAACUACCGGGCUAGAGUGUGUCAGAGGGAGGUGGAACUCCGCGUGUAGCAGUGAAAUGCGUAGAUAUGCGGAGGAACACCGAUGGCGAAGGCAGCCUCCUGGGAUAACACUGACGCUCAUGCACGAAAGCGUGGGGAGCAAACAGGAUUAGAUACCCUGGUAGUCCACGCCCUAAACGAUGUCAACUAGCUGUUGGGGUCUUCGGACCUUGGUAGCGCAGCUAACGCGUGAAGUUGACCGCCUGGGGAGUACGGUCGCAAGAUUAAAACUCAAAGGAAUU
rnacentral:rRNA from 1 species